rnacentral:rRNA from 1 species
GAAUUCGAUUCGGUGUGACAAGGCCCGGGAACGUAUUCACCGCGGCGUGCUGAUCCGCGAUUACUAGCAAUUCCAACUUCAAGCAGGCGAGUUGCAGCCUGCUAUCCGAACUGAGACCGGCUUUCUCCGAUUAGCUCCACCUUGCGGUAUCGCGACGGUUUGUACCGGCCAUUGUAGCACGUGUGUAGCCCCAGACAUAAAGGCCAUGCUGACUUGACGUCAUCCCCACCUUCCUCCGGUUUAUCACCGGCGGUCUCUGCAGAGUGCCCAGCAUAACCUGAUGGCAACAGCAGACAAGGGUUGCGCUCGUUGCGGGACUUAACCCAACAUCUCACGACACGAGCUGACGACAGCCAUGCAGCACCUCUACGAGUGUCCUUGCGGAAGCUCCCUUUCGGGAGUGGUCACUCGCUGUUCAAGCCUGGGUAAGGUUCUUCGCGUUAAUCACUA